CUUCCUCUCCCCGCCACAACUUUUCACUCCUGUCUGUGUUCUGUUCUUUAGCAUACUUCUGUGCCAGGGAACCAGUUUCUAGAGUCCAGACAUGCUACUCUCCCUGCUCUGCAUCUGCUUUAACAAGACAGAAGACAGAAUGUGCUAAGUGCAUUUGCCAUCAGAACAGCAGGCUUCCAGCUGUACAGCUGUUGCUCCAACCAUGUACCAGAGAGCCAGAAAUCCCAGACAAAUGACUGAAGUCUCUCUAUCCAGACUUGUACCAGAAGGGAGCCUGGCCCAGGAGUUCCUCUGUGGAGAAAAACAAAGCAUUUGAACAUAACGGUCAAUUGGCUUGUUGAGUCCCAUCACAGACUGUCCUGGAAUAUAUUUAUUAAAGGUAAUUCUCUUAUUUUGGUAAGAUUGUAU
rnacentral:lncRNA from 1 species